rnacentral:rRNA from 1 species
AGCUCCAGUAGCGUAUAUUAAAGUUGUUGCCGUUAAAAAGCUCGUAGUUGAAUUUCUGGUGUGACGUGCCUAGUCGGCCUCGAAUGAGUGUCAGUGCUGGAGCAGGUCCAUCAUCCUUCUAGUUUUUCGGCGUCUCCUUCAUUGGUUGGCGUUCGGGGCUAGAUCUUUUACUUUGAAGAAAUUAGAGUGUUUAAAGCAGGCUUUGCGCUAUGAAUACAUUAGCAUGGAAUAAUAAUAUAGGACUUUGGUCUUUGUUAUUGGUUUCUGACCAAGGUAAUGAUUGAUAGGGAUAGUUGGGGGUGCUAGUAUUGAAUGGCCAGAGGUGAAAUUCAUGGAUUCAUUCAAGACUAACUAAUGCGAAAGCAUUCACCAAGGAUAUCUUCUUUAAUCAAGAACGAAA